CUUCUACCAAAGUUCCCUCAUGUGUGUACUCCCUACUAGUUUCCCAAUAAUAACCAUGAGUACUCUCAACAAUAAAGUCACACAAAGUAAAAGAAGAAGUAGCUUCCGCAACUACACAUUCCUUACCCCUAAGAGUACUCUCAUCUUCCAAGAAGAGAUUUCCAUCUUUAGGAGGAAUGUUGUCACACCAAAGUGGGUUAUCAUAUAGGCUAUAGCUUC
rnacentral:lncRNA from 1 species